AGAGUUUGAUCAUGGCUCAGAACGAACGCUGGCGGCAUGCCUAACACAUGCAAGUCGAACGUGAUCCGGGGCUUGCUCCGGUGAAAGUGGCGGACGGGUGAGUAACGCGUGGGAACCUGCCCUUUGGUUGGGGAUAACUGCGGGAAACUGCGGCUAAUACCCGAUGCACCCGAGAGGGGAAAGAUUUAUCGCCGAAGGAUGGGCCCGCGUCGGAUUAGGUAGUUGGUGGGGUAACGGCCUACCAAGCCUUCGAUCCGUAGCUGGUCUGAGAGGAUGAUCAGCCACACUGGGACUGAGAUACGGCCCAGACUCCUACGGGAGGCAGCAGUGGGGAAUAUUGGACAAUGGGCGCAAGCCUGAUCCAGCAAUGCCGCGUGAGUGAAGAAGGCCUUAGGGUUGUAAAGCUCUUUCGGCGGGGACGAUGAUGACGGUACCCGCAGAAGAAGCCCCGGCUAACUCCGUGUCAGCCGCCGCGGUAA
rnacentral:rRNA from 1 species